rnacentral:rRNA from 1 species
CCUACGGGAGGCAGCAGUGAGGAAUAUUGGUCAAUGGGCGGAAGCCUGAACCAGCCAAGUCGCGUGAGGGAUGAAGGUCCUAUGGAUUGUAAACUUCUUUUAUAAGGGAGUAAAGUGUGGGACGUGUCCCGUUUUGCAUGUACCUUAUGAAUAAGGAUCGGCUAACUCCGUGCCAGCAGCCGCGGUAAUACGGAGGAUCCGAGCGUUAUCCGGAUUUAUUGGGUUUAAAGGGUGCUUAGACGGGUUGUUAAGUCAGCGGUGAAAGUUUGUGGCUCAACCAUAGAAUUGCAAUUGAUACUGGCAGGCUUGAGUAUGUUUGAGGUAGGCGGAAGUCGUGGUGUAGCGGUGAAAUGCUUAGAUAUCACGAAGAACCCCGAUUGCGAAGGCAGCCUACUAAGCCGUGACUGACGUUGAUGCUCGAAAGCGUGGGGAUCAAACAGGAUUAGAUACCCCUGUAGUC